rnacentral:rRNA from 1 species
UACGGGGGGGGCAAGCGUUGUUCGGAAUUACUGGGCGUAAAGGGCUCGUAGGCGGCCAACUAAGUCAGACGUGAAAUCCCUCGGCUUAACCGGGGAACUGCGUCUGAUACUGGUUGGCUUGAAUCCGGGAGAGGGAUGUGGAAUUCCAGGUGUAGCGGUGAAAUGCGUAGAUAUCUGGAGGAACACCGGUGGCGAAGGCGGCACCCUGGACCGGUAUUGACGCUGAGGAGCGAAAGCCAGGGGAGCAAACGGG